CACCCUCCGAAAUGGCCGCGGCGCAGCGCUGCAUCCACGGAACCCAAGGAGGACCCUCCGGAGCCCGCACGUGGGCCGGGCCCGGCCGUGCUACAGAUGGCCCAGUUAGAUGUCAGCUGCUGGAGGAGGAACGACACUGUAAAGAUCUCCGGAGGUCAAGACCGCGCCUUUUCACCUGUUUAUCUGCUUCCUCUGCUUUGGGUUCUGCAAGGAGAAAGACGGGGCUUUGCACCCCCUUAAAGAGUUACCGUUGAGGGAAAUCGCAGGGGCAAUUCUACCCUGUCCUUUGGCAGUGAGUUUGCCCGGGGUUUGUUUUCUGCAUAGUGUCUAGCGUGUAGUAAGAACUCAGCACACAAUGAAUAAAAAAGGUAUAAACGUGUCAUGAAGAGGGAGAUGAUGCCCUUAUAUCAUCUGUAUUCCAUAUACUAGGUUGGUUUUUCGUGUUUUUGUUUUUUGUUUUUUUUUGCUUUGAAAGAAAGUAACUUUAUUCUAAUGAAUUCACAAGCAUGAACACACAGACUUUUGUCCGGCUCCAUCCGGACAUCAUCCCAAGACUGCGAGAACAUCGUCUCCCACGGUGAUUCGGAAGCAAGGCCGAUGACGGUGCCUGCUGGGACACUUUCCUCCACCACCCAUUAAACGUUUACGUUAACUUGGU